rnacentral:rRNA from 1 species
AUUGAACGCUGGCGGCAUGCUUUACACAUGCAAGUCGAACGGCAGCGCGGGCUUCGGCCUGGCGGCGAGUGGCGAACGGGUGAGUAAUGCAUCGGAACGUGCCCAGUAGUGGGGGAUAGCCCGGCGAAAGCCGGAUUAAUACCGCAUACGACCUGAGGGUGAAAGCGGGGGACCGAAAGGCCUCGCGCUAUUGGAGCGGCCGAUGUCGGAUUAGCUAGUUGGUGGGGUAAAGGCUUACCAAGGCGACGAUCCGUAGCUGGUCUGAGAGGAUGACCAGCCACACUGGGACUGAGACACGGCCCAGACUCCUACGGGAGGCAGCAGUGGGGAAUUGUGGACAAUGGGGGCAACCCUGAUCCAGCCAUGCCGCGUGCGGGAAGAAGGCCUUCGGGUUGUAAACCGCUUUUGUUCGGGAAGAAAUCCUCUGGGCUAAUACCCCGGGGGGAUGACGGUACCGGAAGAAUAAGCACCGGCUAACUACGUG